CUCUGACUCCUCGUUGAGCCACGUCGCCCGAAAACACAACAAGCGUACUAUCGGACCAUCCAACGGGCCAUGGGAGCGAGCAGGCUCGCGCCGCCUUCCGACUGCCGCUCCGCCCGGCGGGCCUCCGCCCUACUCGAUCCUCCUCGACCCUUCACGCGCCUCCGCCUACUCUCGUCAGCCCCGCUCCACUCCUACAGGCGCGCGAGCGCCCGGCGACCACGGACGACCAAGCGGCCCAGCGGCCGGCUGCACGUGGCCAACGGGCGGACCAGUGGCUACUGCGACCAUCAGCUGAGGCCAGAGCGCGGCGCGGGGGCCAGCAGGCUGGUGACCGGCGGCAGCCAGUGCCGGGGAGGCCCGGCCAGCUGCGAGGUGACCGCGGCGUCACGCGGCCAGACGCAGCCGCCAUGGCCUGCCGACCACGGGGCAACGCAGCGCGGCCAGCUCGCCAUGACCUUCCGACCACGGGGCAAGCAGCCCUGGGCGCAGCUCGGACGAGCAGCCGGUCAGGCCGGCGACAAGCAGGUCCGCGAGACGCGAGGUGGACCUGCAGCGACGCCCUUGACACUACUGCGCCUAUCUCUCCCGUGUUCACACCUGCGCUGCUUUGACCUCGACGUCCGCUUCAUAUUCGCCCAGCAGGUGCUCGACACAAUGCCGUUAGUACACUUGAAGCUGUACAAUCCUCUACUCUGCAUGUUGUUUGAACAGCCGGCUGGACAGAAAUUCUCUCUCUGGGCCAGUUCCUUCCAAUACGAAGAACCUCACCAACGUAAGUGAGCUGUAAGUUGUUUAGUACCAUUGCAUUUGUGAUUGUAUGUAUGGGAACAUUCAGUCAUACUUAAGACCGUACUGGUAUAUUUCAGCAGCUUAGCCAACAACCAGCUCACUGGACCGUUGCCUGAUCUAUCAGGGAUUGAACUUCUCAAUUAUGUGCAAGCAAUCUGCACUAUGAAAGAUUUCUUCUGCUAACUGAAAACCAUCACUGAACAUGCUUAACCUCAAAUUCUUCCACCGUCUAACGCACCACAGUGAUCUGAACAACAAUACAUUUGUUCCUUCCUUAAGCCCGCUGUGGUUUUGGAAGUUACCGCAACUCUCACCUCUAUAUGAUGUGACCAUGGAUGCUGCCCCUGAAGUCCGAUAGUUUAUGAGAAGACAAAUAUAAGAAUCUCAUAAUCAUUGUUCAAAUAGGUGAAGCUGUUGCUGCAGAAAAGGCAGCAGAAAAAGAGCACACAUCAUCACAAAGCUCUAGGAUUAUCCAGAGUAAUGACUGAGAUAGGCCUCCACAGGUAAUUUCCUACAAUUACUCAAUAGCACUUGCAGUAUCAAUUACUGAUUUUCCCAAUCAAGUAUCCUAAAUUCAUUUUACAGAAAAUCCCAAGCAUACUCAUUUUACUGAAAAAUAGGCAUUUCCCGCCAACUAUUGUCAUGUCAUACUUUGACACCCCUCAAGUCUUCCAUGGCCUCUACUCUAUUGAAUUUCUGUUUAGUACUCGUAUAACACCCAGUACAGCCAAUACCAUCCACAAACUACACUGCAAAUUAAAAUCAAUGAUGAUUUAUAUUUGUCAAAAUUAAAUGACCAUGCAUACCAUGCACAGCAGCGCAACCACUAAAUGUUCAAUGUACUCUGUACCAUUUCUCUCAAACUAACUGCAGCCAAGACUACCAUAUGCAAAUACAAGUUGCCAUUAUUGAUUUUCUUUCUUGCAUAACUGUACUUCAUACUGUUAAUAUUAUGCUUGACUAAUUUAUUUUAUUUGGACGAGGAAAAUACUCAGUUGGGAAACUUAAUAUGACAAGACAAGCCCAUGAAGCUCAAUUGGUGAUUUGUUUUUCUUACUAUACUUUCAAUUUUAAGAAAUCACAGUGAAGUUGAGGAAUCAGCUCAUCACAAUAUUAUUCGGCAUGCAUGGCUGUCCACAAUAAAGAAACCAUCAUGCUCUUGAACAGUUUACAUGACUCUGCAAAACAUUCAGUUGUGGAGGACGUAUCUGAGAUAAGUUUAUAUACUUGCAUUUCUAGCCUGAUGCUGGUGGUAGCGUCACUUCAAGCUAUUUAUUUAUAUAUCAUGAUAUGAAAAUACUUUUGUAUAUCAUUUAACUGAUUGGAGGAAGAUGCCUGCUAUUUCUAUGUUUUAAAA